CCAAAGGGCUUUCUGGCUUUGGUUUGAAAGGUUCUUGCAAUUUUGUUUUGUUGUGGUUUUCCUUUCUGGUCACAGCAGGCAGCCACAUUGACAGCACACGCACUGUGGAACUAACACUGCAGAUUCCUGUGCGGUUUUGACGUCCCUUUUAAACUGUGCAGAUUCGAUAAAGCAUUUCCUGGGAUCGACGGGGGCCCUGGCUUCUCUUGUUACUGAGAACACACACAGCGACAAGAGAUUUUAUGAAAAGAAAGAAGAAAAAAGAAGAGAAAGAAUUGGUGGCUAGUGCUUUCUGUCAUCACUGAGACAACCACGUCAAGAAAGAUGCCGCGCGAUGCCCGAGAGCUUCCUGAACGACAAUCGCCAGCUGAGCUCGGAGGCAGAGCACUUGCCUGGCAGCACAUAAACUAGGUGUGUCGAUGUAUGCCUGCAGUUACAGCGCUGAAGAAAUAGAGAAAGGAGAACCAGGAGUUCCAGGACAUCCUCAGCUAUGUAGAUCCAUGCCUUCAGUGAGCUCACUGAUUCAAUUAAACUGGCUACACCACCCUUAGCACUGGGAUUGCUUGACCCAUCUUCCACAUGGGUGCCAGAGCAAGACUUCAGGUCCAUCCUCACAGUCCUCCUACCCCCUCCAUCUCCUUUUGAGCAAUUUUGGAGAUAACAGAAGGUGAUAAUGCUCCACCCAGGUUGGAUUCCUACCAACCACAGAAAAGUGAGUGCCCACCAUGGGACAGCUUUCAUUAAAAUCACAGCUUUCCCUUAUAAAAGGAGCUCAUGAUCACCUCAGAAAACCAAGGAACCACUGGGAAGAAACUAAAAUCACUGGAAUUCCCACCUGAAUAGUCAACAUGCAUGUAUUGAGUGCUCUUUCCAAUUAUAAUCACUUUAUAAAACUAGGGCAUAAAAUAGAGAUAAUUUGUGUCUUUUUUCCAUACAGUAUUAUUUUCAGGACCCUAAAACUUUUCAAUAUUGUUUUGUUUUUUUACUUUAUUUUCAUUUUUGUUUGAGUCAGAGUCUAGUGUACCAGGCUAGCCUUGUCCCCUGAUCCCACCUCCACCUCCCAAAUGCUGAGAUUACGGGUGAGCACCAUACCAUUCAAUAUAACUGUAAUGGCUUUAUCUUCUCAUGCAUCAAAACCAUGUUUUCCUUAAGCGCUCUCAUUUUUCUGCCUCAGCCUUCUAGUGUGGAGUUACAAGCCUGUACUACCACACUUGGCUAAUAUCUUUUCACCCCUUAGAAAAACAUACCUAACGUUUGUGCAUAUGUCACAGCACCAGGCCCAU